rnacentral:lncRNA from 1 species
GACGGAAGUGUUAGUCCUGUAAUGUGGAUAAACGAUGAAUACUCUUUGAGAAGGCUAAGUGCGGACUCUAAGCCUCAUGAACCUUUUUUAGGGAAUCUCGACAACCUUUGGCUAAAUGAGUUUAGUGGCUCAUGCUUUUUGGGAAAAAAGAAAUAAGUUUAAUCAAAUGGAAUUUUAUUGAAUAAUAAAAGGAACAAAAGCUAAGAGCUUUAGGGAGACAAAGUUUUUAUAAAAAAAAUGGGUUCAUAUUUAUGCCACUCCAUCCCCUAUUUAUAGUACAUAGAAAAUCUAGUUUGUUCCUAUUUAAACUCUAAAAGAUAAAUAAAGAUAAAAGCUGAAAUUAAAUCUAAAUAAUUAUCCCAACAAUAAUCCUAAUAAAAUUCAAAUUUAAAUAAAGUCUUAUGUUUAUAAAUCUCUUCUUUGAAUUUUUGCCCCCAAUUCUUUCACACUUUGUAUUUUUGGCAUCAUUUCUUUCCUAUUUAGUAUGUUGGCCCAUUUUAUCUUUAAAUUCACACUUUUUUGCCCCAAAUUUCCUUUUUCCUUUAAUUUAGUCCCUACAAGAUAAAAAACCAUAAAAAGCACAAAUUAGUAGGAUCAUACUCAAAGUAAAUAUGUAAUUAAUACAUAAAAACAUGUCAUUUCAGAGUAUUAUCAUGUAUCUUAUUUUGAAAUCAAAAAUCAAAAAUUUUAUAAAACUUGCUUUAUUCCUUUGGUAAGAAUAUUUGUCAAAAGAAAGGCGUGUGUGAAGAUUUUGAAAUGUUGUCUUAUACAACUCAAUUUAUUUAAAAACAUCAUGCUAUCGACUUUAUUUACUUGUUUUUGAAAAAACGUGAAUUUCGGUUAAAACUUUGUAGUGGAGAGUUUCUUAGGCUUGUUUAACCAUGAAAAUCAGAGGUUAGUUUUUUAAUUGUUAGAAAACAUGUCAAAUUUUAGAACAAGUAAUUAAAAUACUUAACAAAUCCCAAAAACCAAAAUUAAAGCUCGAAAAAUAGUCCAAUUGUCCAAAAGUUCAUAAAACAUAAACUAAGAGUUAUUGAAUAAGUUUUAUAUAGAAAAACUGAACCAAGCUCCUAAACGCCAUCAAAUCCUAAGUCAAAGGGUUACCUGAAAAAUUAAACAAACAAAGUGAGCUAAAAAGCUCAGUGUGUGCCUUGACCCAUAAGUAAAAUCACAUAACAGAAUCAUGGUUAGAUGCAUAUAUCAAAUCAAACAGACCAGAAAUUUCAAAAUGCUUAGUGUAAGUACCCAAAUUUACCCUGGCCCAACACCAUUAACCAGCCCAAACAAUUAAAAAAUAUAUAUAUAAAAACAAAAAAAACCAAAUAAUUAAAUGUCCACUGUCCCUUAUUACAUCAGCCCAAAUCUGCCAAAAUAAACAAGCCCGAAACAAAACUAACCCUAAGGCCCAAACAGCCCAAAAACUAAAACAAAUUCAGUCAAAACCCUAGCCCCUAUUUGCCUCGCGCCGCUCCCCCACGUACGGCCUCCAUUGCACCUCCGUACGCCAGCGCACUGCCUCCAUACACGCGCCACGCACACCACAUACCUGCAAAAAGGGACAAACACAAAACAAAAAAGGAAAAAGAAAAAAAGAUUGUAUUUUUUUGGUUUUCAUUAUUCGACUAUAAAGCCUUUUUUAUUUUUGGUUGUAAGGGCUCCCUCUUUUACACACACACAUACUGAAUAGAAAAAAAUGAUUCAAAAAUUUUAAAGGUGAUUUCUGACUCGAGUUUUCUGGGUUUUUUUAAGUUAGCUUUUAGAUUAUUUCUUUUUGGGUCUUUUAUUUUCGCAUUUGAAAACAAAAGGAAAAGGGAAAGAGAAAUCUUACCUUACGAAAACUCCAUGGGUUUCCUUUCACUUUGUUGAAAUCAAGGCUGAGAGGGAAUCCUAAGGCUAAAAUGAUCGCUAGAGCUCGAAUACAUUGGUCGCCUACUGUGGUGGUGGAUCGGUGUUUGAGUAAAAGAGGAUUAGUGUUCGGCCGAAUAGGGAAUAAGGUGUUUAUGUUUUUUUUUUUACUUUUGUUCCUAAAUGGCUAAGUGUAUUAGUUAGGGUUUGUUUUGGUGUUAAUAAUGUAU